rnacentral:tRNA from 1 species
GGGGCUUUAGCUCAGUUGGUAGAGCGCUGCCUUUGCAAGGCAGAUGUCAGGAGUUCGAAUCUCCUAAGCUCCACC